CUGCUGCCUUCCGUAGGAGUUUGGGCCGUGUCUCAGUCCCAAUGUGGCCGUCCACCCUCUCAGGCCGGCUACUGAUCGUCGCUUUGGUAGGCCGUUACCCUGCCAACUGGCUAAUCAGACGCGGGCCCAUCUUAUACCACCGGAGUUUUUCACCCUGGGCCAUGCGGCCCUGGGCGCUUAUGCGGUCUUAGCACCUAUUUCUAAGUGUUAUCCCCCUGUAUAAGGCAGGUUACCCACGCGUUACUCACCCGUCCGCCACUAAAGUAAAAAAUGUUCCG
rnacentral:rRNA from 1 species